GCCGCUGAGUUUAAGCAUAUCAAUAAGCGGAGGAAAAGAAACUUACCAGGAUUCCCCUAGUAACGGCGAGCGAACCAGGAAUAGCCCAGCUUGAGAAUCGGGCACCCUCGGCAUUCGAAUUGUAGUCUGGAGUAGCAUCCUCGGCGGCUGACCGGGCCCAAGUCCCUUGGAAUAGGACACCAGAGAGGGUGAGAACCCCGUCAUGCCCGGACUUUGUCGUACCACGAGGCGCCAUCUACGAGUCGGGCACCCUCGGCAUUCGAAUGCAGCCCAAAUCGGAUGGUAAAUUUCGUCCAAGGCUAAAUACGGGCGAGAGACCGAUAGCGAACAAGUACCGCGAGGGAAAGAUGAAAACGACUUUGAAAAGAGAGUCAAAGAGUGCUUGAAAUUUUCAGGAGGGAAGCGGAUGGGGGCCAGCGAUGCGCCCCGGUCAGAUGUGUAACGGCUAAAAGCCAGUCCACCGAUAGGCUCGGGGUGCGGACCGACGCGGAUUAUAGCGGCGGCCCAAGCCCAGGCUUUUGAUACGCCUGCAAAGAUGUUGUCGCAGCAAUUAUGGGCUGCAGAGCGCGCCGUCACAGUGUGCUUCUGCACCUGCGCGCUCCGAGCGUCGGCCAGCGGGCUCUUGAUAGGCAUCAUAUUACACAUGU
rnacentral:ncRNA from 1 species